CCUACCGCAUUACCCUAGUAGCGGCGAGCGAGCGGGAAGAGCUCAAAUUUAUAAUCUGGCACCUUCGGUGUCCGAGUUGUAAUCUCUAGAAAUGUUUUCCGCGUUGGACCGCACACAAGUCUGUUGGAAUACAGCGGCAUAGUGGUGAGACCCCCGUAUAUGGUGCGGACGCCCAGCGCUUUGUGAUACAUUUUCGAAGAGUCGAGUUGUUUGGGAAUGCAGCUCAAAUUGGGUGGUAAAUUCCAUCUAAAGCUAAAUAUUGGCGAGAGACCGAUAGCGAACAAGUACCGUGAGGGAAAGAUGAAAAGCACUUUGGAAAGAGAGUUAACAGUACGUGAAAUUGUUGGAAGGGAAACGCUUGAAGUCAGACUUGCUUGCCGAGCAAUCGGUUUGCAGGCCAGCAUCAGUUUUCCGGGAUGGAUAAUGGUAGAGAGAAGGUAGCAGUUUCGGCUGUGUUAUAGCUCUCUGCUGGAUACAUCUUGGGGGACUGAGGAACGCAGUGUGCCUUUUGGCGGGGGUUUCGACCUCUUCACACUUAGGAUGCUGGUGGAAUGGCUUUAAACGACCCGUCUA
rnacentral:rRNA from 1 species